rnacentral:rRNA from 1 species
GAUGAACGCUAGCGAUAGGCUUAACACAUGCAAGUCGGGGGGCAGCACAUGAGUGGCAACACGAUGGUGGCGACCGGCGCACGGGUGAGUAACACGUAUGCAACCUGCCCAUAACUGGGGGAUAACCCGUCGAAAGGCGGACUAAUACCGCAUGACAACGAUGAUCCGCAUGGUGAUUCGUUUAAAGAUUUAUCGGUUAUGGAUGGGCAUGCGUUCCAUUAGGUAGUUGGCAGGGUAACGGCCUACCAAGCCUACGAUGGAUAGGGGUUCUGAGAGGAAGGUCCCCCACGCUGGUACUGAGACACGGACCAGACUCCUACGGGAGGCAGCAGUGAGGAAUAUUGGUCAAUGGGCGAGAGCCUGAACCAGCCAAAUCGCGUGAAGGAUGAAGGUAUUAUGUAUUGUAAACUUCUUUUGUCGGGGAAUAAAGUGCAGCACGUGUGCUGUUUUGUAUGUACCCGAAGAAUAAGGAUCGGCUAACUCCGUGCCAGCAGCCGCCGCGGUAA